GUUCCUGUAGCUUACACCAACUAAAGCG
rnacentral:tRNA from 2 species